rnacentral:rRNA from 1 species
GAUGAACGCUGGCGGCGUGCCUAAUACAUGCAAGUCGAGCGAACCACUUCGGUGGUGAGCGGCGAACGGGUGAGUAACACGUAGGUGAUCUGCCCAUCAGACGGGGACAACGAUUGGAAACGAUCGCUAAUACCGGAUAGGAAGAAAGUUUAAAGGUGCUUCUGGCACCGCUGAUGGAUGAGCCUGCGGCGCAUUAGCUAGUUGGUAGGGUAAAGGCCUACCAAGGCGACGAUGCGUAGCCGACCUGAGAGGGUGAACGGCCACACUGGGACUGAGACACGGCCCAGACUCCUACGGGAGGCAGCAGUAGGGAAUCUUCGGCAAUGGGCGAAAGCCUGACCGAGCAACGCCGCGUGAAUGAUGAAGGCCUUCGGGUUAUAAAAUUCUGUUAUAAGGGAAGAACGACUUUAGUAGGAAAUGGCUAGAGUGUGACGGUACCUUAUGAGAAAGCCACGGCUAACUACGUGCCAGCCGCCGCAGUAA